rnacentral:tRNA from 1 species
GGGCUUAUAGUACAGUGGUAGUACGCUGCAUUCGCAUUGCAGAGACGUGGGUUCAAUUCCCGCUAAGUCCA